rnacentral:rRNA from 1 species
UACGAGUGCCUCAAGCGUUAUCCGGAUUCACUGGGUUUAAAGGGUGCGUAGGAGGAAAGGUAAGUCAGUGGUGAAAUCUCCAAGCUUAACUUGGAAACUGCCGUUGAUACUAUCUUUCUUGAAUACCGUGGAGGUGAGCGGAAUAUGUCAUGUAGCGGUGAAAUGCUUAGAUAUGACAUAGAACACCAAUUGCGAAGGCAGCUCGCUACACGAAUAUUGACUCUGAGGCACGAAAGCGUGGGGAUCAAACAGG